GGCGGACAUACUCCACGGCCUCGGGGAACUUGGCUUGCAGGGUCAGGUUGGUAUGGUCGGGGCGGAUCAUGGCCUCCUCCGCCA
rnacentral:tRNA from 1 species